GUUCAAAAGUGAAAGACGGUCUUGCUGUCACUUAUAGAUGGAUCCGCGCUGCAUUAGCUAGUUGGUAAGGUAACGGCUUACCAAGGCAACGAUGCAUAGCCGACCUGAGAGGGUGAUCGGCCACACUGGAACUGAGACACGGUCCAGACUCCUACGGGAGGCAGCAGUAGGGAAUCUUCCGCAAUGGGCGAAAGCCUGACGGAGCAACGCCGCGUGAGUGAUGAAGGUCUUCGGAUCGUAAAACUCUGUUAUUAGGGAAGAACAUAUGUGUAAGUAACUGUGCACAUCUUGACGGUACCUAAUCAGAAAGCCACGGCUAACUACGUGCCAGCAGCCGCGGUAAUACGUAGGUGGCAAGCGUUAUCCGGAAUUAUUGGGCGUAAAGCGCGCGUAGGCGGU
rnacentral:rRNA from 1 species